rnacentral:rRNA from 1 species
UACGAAGGGGGCGAGCGUUGUUCGGAUUUACUGGGCGUAAAGGGUCUGUAGGUGGCCAACUAAGUCAGACGUGAAAUCCCUCAGCUUAACUGGGGAACUGCGUCUGAUACUGGAUGGCUCGAGUGUGGGAGAGGAAUGCGGAAUUCCAGGUGUAGCGGUGAAAUGCGUAGAUAUCUGGAGGAACACCGGUGGCGAAGGCGGCAUUCUGGACCACAACUGACACUGAGAGACGAAAGCCAGGGGAGCAAACGGG